rnacentral:rRNA from 1 species
ACCUACGGGGCGCAGCAGUGGGGAAUAUUGCACAAUGGGGGAAACCCUGAUGCAGCGACGCCGCGUGAAGGAAGAAGUAUUUCGGUAUGUAAACUUCUAUCAGCAGGGAAGAAAAUGACGGUACCUGACUAAGAAGCCCCGGCUAACUACGUGCCAGCAGCCGCGGUAAUACGUAGGGGGCAAGCGUUAUCCGGAUUUACUGGGUUUAAAGGGUGCGUAGGCGGAAUGCCAAGUCAGCGGUAAAAUCGCGGGGCUCAACCUCGCUCCGCCGUUGAAACUGGCGUUCUUGAGUGGGCGAGAAGUAU